rnacentral:rRNA from 1 species
CUAGCAUGCAUGUCGAGCGGUUCGGGUCCUUCGGGCGCCGGUUAGCCGAUGACGGUUGAGUCAUGGCUCGGAAUCUGCCUGGUAGUGGGGGAUAACUCGGGGAAACUCGAGCUAAUACCGCACACUUCCUACGGGAGAAAGUGGGGGAUCUUCGGACCUCACGCUAUCAGAUGAGCCUAGGUCGGAUUAGCUAGUUGGUGAGGUAAAGGCUCACCAAGGCGACGAUCCGUAACUGGUCUGAGAGGAUGAUCAGUCACACUGGAACUGAGACACGGUCCAGACUCCUACGGGAGGCAGCAGUGGGGAAUAUUGGACAAUGGGCGAAAGCCUGAUCCAGCCAUGCCGCGUGUGUGAAGAAGGUCUUCGGAUUGUAAAGCACUUUAAGUUGGGAGGAAGGGCAGUAAGUUAAUACCUUGCUGUUUUGACGUUACCAACAGAAUAAGCACCGGCUAACUUCGUGCCAGCAGCCGCGGUAAUACGAAGGGUGCAAGCGUUAAUCGGAAUUACUGGGCGUAAAGCGCGCGUAGGUGGUUCAGCAAGUUGGAGGUGAAAUCCCCGGGCUCAACCUGGGAACUGCCUCCAAAACUACUGGGCUAGAGUAUGGUAGAGGGUGGUGGAAUUUCCGGUGUAGCUAUGAAAUGCGUAGAUAUAGGAAGGAACACCAGUGGCGAAGCGACCACCUGGACUAAUACUGACACUGAGGUGCGAAAGCGUGGGGAGCAAACAGGAUUAGAUACCCUGGUAGUCCACGCCGUAAACGAUGUCGACUAGCCUUGGGAUCCUUGAGAUCUUAGUGGCGCAGCUAACGCGAUAGUCGACCGCCUGGGGAGUACGGCCGCAGGUUAAAACUCAAUGAAUUGACGGGGCCCGCACAAGCGGUGGAGCAGUGGUUUAAUUCGAAGCACGCGAAACCUUACCUGGCCUUGACUGCU